rnacentral:rRNA from 1 species
GUCUACGGCCAUACCACCCUGAACACACCUGAUCUCGUCUCAUCUUGGAAACUAAGUAGGGUCGGGCUAGGGUAGUACUUGGAUGUAGUAUUUCAUGGCAUAUUGAAAAUUAUAUGUC